GUCGAACGAUGAUGCCCAGCUUGCUGGGUGGAUUAGUGGCGAACGGGUGAGUAACACGUGAGUAACCUGCCCCUGACUCUGGGAUAAGCGUUGGAAACGACGUCUAAUACUGGAUAUGACUGCCGGCCGCAUGGUCUGGUGGUGGAAAGAUUUUUUGGUUGGGGAUGGACUCGCGGCCUAUCAGCUUGUUGGUGAGGUAAUGGCUCACCAAGGCGACGACGGGUAGCCGGCCUGAGAGGGUGACCGGCCACACUGGGACUGAGACACGGCCCAGACUCCUACGGGAGGCAGCAGUGGGGAAUAUUGCACAAUGGGCGAAAGCCUGAUGCAGCAACGCCGCGUGAGGGAUGACGGCCUUCGGGUUGUAAACCUCUUUUAGUAGGGAAGAAGCGUAAGUGACGGUACCUGCAGAAAAAGCACCGGCUAACUACGUGCCAGCAGCCGCGGUAAUACGUAGGGUGCAAGCGUUGUCCGGAAUUAUUGGGCGUAAAGAGCUCGUAGGCGGUUUGUCGCGUCUGCUGUGAAAUCCCGAGGCUCAACCUCGGGCUUGCAGUGGGUACGGGCAGACUAGAGUGCGGUAGGGGAGAUUGGAAUUCCUGGUGUAGCGGUGGAAUGCGCAGAUAUCAGGAGGAACACCGAUGGCGAAGGCAGAUCUCUGGGCCGUAACUGACGCUGAGGAGCGAAAGCGUGGGGAGCGAACAGGAUUAGAUACCCUGGUAGUCCACGCCGUAAACGUUGGGCGCUAGAUGUAGGGACCUUUCCACGGUUUCUGUGUCGUAGCUAACGCAUUAAGCGCCCCGCCUGGGGAGUACGGCCGCAAGGCUAAAACUCAAAGGAAUUGACGGGGGCCCGCACAAGCGGCGGAGCAUGCGGAUUAAUUCGAUGCAACGCGAAGAACCUUACCAAGGCUUGACAUACACCGGAAACGGCCAGAGAUGGUUGCCCCCUUGUGGUCGGUGUACAGGUGGUGCAUGGUUGUCGUCAGCUCGUGUCGUGAGAUGUUGGGUUAAGUCCCGCAACGAGCGCAACCCUCGUUCUAUGUUGCCAGCGCGUUAUGGCGGGGACUCAUAGGAGACUGCCGGGGUCAACUCGGAGGAAGGUGGGGAUGACGUCAAAUCAUCAUGCCCCUUAUGUCUUGGGCUUCACGCAUGCUACAAUGGCCGGUACAAAGGGCUGCGAUACCGUAAGGUGGAGCGAAUCCCAAAAAGCCGGUCUCAGUUCGGAUUGAGGUCUGCAACUCGACCUCAUGAAGUCGGAGUCGCUAGUAAUCGCAGAUCAGCAACGCUGCGGUGAAUACGUUCCCGGGCCUUGUACACACCGCCCGUCAAGUCAUGAAAGUCGGUAACACCCGAAGCCGGUGGCCUAACCCUUGUG
rnacentral:rRNA from 1 species